UCCGGUAUAAAGGCUCUUCUUGUUUGUUACGGGAAGGAAUCAGGUAACGGUUCCGAAUAGGGCGGUACCUUGACGGUACCUAACCAGAAAGCCACGGCUAACUACGUGCCAGCAGCCGCGGUAAUACGUAGGUGGCAGCGUUGUCGGGAAUUUAUUGGGCGUAAAGGGCUCGCAGGCGGUUUCUUAAGUCUGAUGUGAAAGCCCCCGGCUCAACCGGGGAGGGUCAUUGGAAACUGGGGAACUUGAGUGCAGAAGAGGAGAGUGGAAUUCCACGUGUAGCGGUGAAAUGCGUAGAGAUGUGGAGGAACACCAGUGGCGAAGGCGACUCUCUGGUCUGUAACUGACGCUGAGGAGCGAAAGCGUGGGGAGCGAACAGGAUUAGAUACCCUGGUAGUCCACGCCGUAAACGAUGAGUGCUAAGUGUUAGGGGGUUUCCGCCCCUUAGUGCUGCAGCUAACGCAUUAAGCACUCCGCCUGGGGAGUACGGUCGCAAGACUGAAACUCAAAGGAAUUGACGGGGGCCCGCACAAGCGGUGGAGCAUGUGGUUUAAUUCGAAGCAACGCGAAGAACCUUACCAGGUCUUGACAUCCUCUGACAAUCCUAGAGAUAGGACGUCCCCUUCGGGGGCAGAGUGACAGGUGGUGCAUGGUUGUCGUCAGCUCGUGUCGUGAGAUGUUGGGUUAAGUCCCGCAACGAGCGCAACCCUUGAUCUUAGUUGCCAGCAUUCAGUUGGGCACUCUAAGGUGACUGCCGGUGACAAACCGGAGGAAGGUGGGGAUGACGUCAAAUCAUCAUGCCCCUUAUGACCUGGGCUACACACGUGCUACAAUGGACAGAACAAAGGGCAGCGAAACCGCGAGGUUAAGCCAAUCCCACAAAUCUGUUCUCAGUUCGGAUCGCAGUCUGCAACUCGACUGCGUGAAGCUGGAAUCGCUAGUAAUCGCGGAUCAAGGACGGCCGCGAUUGCGG
rnacentral:rRNA from 1 species